GGCGAUUCCAUUGAUUAAAUUAAGAUGCCCAAUGCAAAUGGUCAGUGCGACAAUCCAUUUGUUUCAGAAGGCAGUUUAAAAAGGAUUCUUUGUCUGUUUUGGACUUCAUUCAAAUCAAAGAAAACUAAACAUCAUAAAAUAAUUUGACAGAGAUAAGGAUGUUAUUUUUCCCUUUGCAUUAGUCUUUAUUUUAGCACCUUAUGUUCUGUAAGCUUUUUGU